rnacentral:lncRNA from 1 species
UGCUCUUGUUAUCUUCCUGAAAAUGAAACUUAGAGAAGGCAUGUUCUUUGCUCAAGAUCACACAACUGGCACAAUAAACAACAGAAAAAGCUAGAAAGACCAAGCUGAGUCUCCUGGGACUUUGAUGGAGAACUUGGGAUACAACAAUAUUGGAAGGAUCAUCAUCUGUGAAAGACUUACCUACCCUGAUCCUGAUCCAGACAAUGAUCCAAGACAAUUCCAAAGGACUGAUGAUGAAAAAUGCACCUACAGAGAGAAAAUGGAUGGCAUUGCGGAUAGC